rnacentral:rRNA from 1 species
AUUGAACGCUGGCGGCAUGCUUUACACAUGCAAGUCGGACGGCAGCACAGAGAAGCUUGCUUCUUGGGUGGCGAGUGGCGAACGGGUGAGUAAUAUAUCGGAACGUACCGAGUAAUGGGGGAUAACUAAUCGAAAGAUUAGCUAAUACCGCAUAUUCUCUGAGGAGGAAAGCAGGGGACCUUCGGGCCUUGCGUUAUUCGAGCGGCCGAUAUCUGAUUAGCUAGUUGGUGGGGUAAAGGCCUACCAAGGCGACGAUCAGUAGCGGGUCUGAGAGGAUGAUCCGCCACACUGGGACUGAGACACGGCCCAGACUCCUACGGGAGGCAGCAGUGGGGAAUUUUGGACAAUGGGCGCAAGCCUGAUCCAGCCAUGCCGCGUGUCUGAAGAAGGCCUUCGGGUUGUAAAGGACUUUUGUCAGGGAAGAAAAGGCUGUUGCUAAUACCGACAGCUGAUGACGGUACCUGAAGAAUAAGCACCGGCUAACUACGUGCCAGCAGCCGCGGUAAUACGUAGGGUGCGAGCGUUAAUCGGAAUUACUGGGCGUAAAGCGAGCGCAGACGGUUACUUAAGCAGGAUGUGAAAUCCCCGGGCUCAACCUGGGAACUGCGUUCUGAACUGGGUGACUAGAGUGUGUCAGAGGGAGGUAGAAUUCCACGUGUAGCAGUGAAAUGCGUAGAGAUGUGGAGGAAUACCGAUGGCGAAGGCAGCCUCCUGGGAUAACACUGACGUUCAUGCUCGAAAGCGUGGGUAACAAACAGG